rnacentral:siRNA from 1 species
UCCUCAGUUUACAGGUGAUUGAC